rnacentral:rRNA from 1 species
GCCUAACACAUGCAAGUCGAACGAGACCUUCGGGUCUAGUGGCGCACGGGUGCGUAACGCGUGGGAAUCUGCCCUUGGGUUCGGAAUAACAGUGAGAAAUUACUGCUAAUACCGGAUGAUGUCGCAAGACCAAAGAUUUAUCGCCCAGGGAUGAGCCCGCGUAGGAUUAGCUAGUUGGUGAGGUAAAGGCUCACCAAGGCGACGAUCCUUAGCUGGUCUGAGAGGAUGAUCAGCCACACUGGGACUGAGACACGGCCCAGACUCCUACGGGAGGCAGCAGUGGGGAAUAUUGGACAAUGGGCGAAAGCCUGAUCCAGCAAUGCCGCGUGAGUGAUGAAGGCCUUAGGGUUGUAAAGCUCUUUUACCCGGGAUGAUAAUGACAGUACCGGGAGAAUAAGCCCCGGCUAACUCCG